rnacentral:rRNA from 1 species
AUUGAACGCUGGCGGCAUGCCUUACACAUGCAAGUCGAACGGCAGCACGGGAGCAAUCCUGGUGGCGAGUGGCGAACGGGUGAGUAAAGUAUCGGAACGUGCCCAGUCGUGGGGGAUAACGUAGCGAAAGUUACGCUAAUACCGCAUACGAUCUAUGGAUGAAAGCGGGGGAUCGCAAGACCUCGCGCGAUUGGAGCGGCCGAUAUCAGAUCAGGUAGUUGGUGGGGUAAAGGCUCACCAAGCCGACGAUCUGUAGCUGGUCUGAGAGGACGACCAGCCAGACUGGGACUGAGACACGGCCCAGACUCCUACGGGAGGCAGCAGUGGGGAAUUUUGGACAAUGGGCGAAAGCCUGAUCCAGCCAUGCCGCGUGCAGGAUGAAGGCCUUCGGGUUGUAAACUGCUUUUGUACGGAACGAAAAGGUUUGGCCUAAUAAGCUGAGCUCAUGACGGUACCGUAAGAAUAAGCACCGGCUAACUACGUGCCAGCCGCCGCGGUAA